ensembl:lncRNA
CACCCGGCUCGGCGGCGGAGGGUGGGCCGCCGUCACCUGACCGCCCGCCCCCGCCCCCCGCGAGUAAGGGGCGGUGGUAGCGUCUGCUCGGUUACAAAUGGCCCCUCCCGCCCCGCUCGCCCGCUCGCUCGGGCUCGGCGCGGACCCGCCCGGGAGCACUCCUCCCGCCGGCUGCCGGCGUCCCGCCGCCCUGCCCGGAGCCGGCCGGCGGUCCCCGCCAACCCCCGAGGGCGCUCCUGGCACCCAGCGCGGAGGCUUGCCCGCGGAGGUCGCCCCGGGAGACUGGACCGCGGUGGCGCGCGGCUUGCCUUCCCGCAGGUGUCCUUUGAUAUGGUGGAUGGUGACUCUUCUCCUGCCUGCGAGUGGUGGUUCAAACCAGCAAAGAGACUUCAGGCUUGUGGUGACCGAGGCCUUAAAACCUCACAGGGGGACAUCCUUGGAGCUCCAUGGCCAGGAAGUGCGGGAGGAAACGGGACUUUCAAAGCAGAAAAAGUAGGUCUGCUCAGAACCAGAGCUGGCCAGCCAGGCCUCUGAGGUCUCAAUGCCAGUUAAGUUUUCAAACAACAACUUCUUUUCUUCCCUGAGAAAAAUGGCUUGGGCACGCUUCCCCGGUGUGCGUUUUGUCUGACAAGAAACCCUUUUGUCCUCUGUCAGUAGAAACGCCAAGAAUAAAGCCCGAGGGGCACUGCCGGGAGACAGGUGCUGGAGCCCCGACCCCCUCUGCUGGCACCUCUGCCCGGGGUUCUCAGCUGAGCCCAGGACUCUCCCCAGGGCCUGGGCAGGCGACAGGGCAGGAGACGUCAGUCACCCCAUGGACGCCCCGGCUUUGGCAGGAAAUGGAGAUGGGUCUGUCUGGUUCAUAUAUUAAUAGGCGUCUGUCACACACCAGGUUAGGAAAUAAUCCUCCCAUUGUCAGCCUGGCUUAAUCCUGCCGUCGUCAACAUGUCUUCCGGGACCUCAUGGGGAGGGGCGCUUUCUCGGAAGAAAUCCCUUGUCAGAGGGAGAGGCAGAUGGACCUCUCUCACCGUGGGCCUGUCCCCGCCAGGAAGUCCGUGUGUCUCAUGCACGAUGUUCAAGGCGCUGAGGAAACCUGCUUUGUAACAAAUGAAAGCCUAGAUCUCUUGAAGUCACCCCUUAGGUGGUUUUUGCAGAAGUAGAGGCUUCUACAAACUGGGUUUCUUUAAAGCAAGGGGUUUUUUUUCCUGCAUUUUUAUUGGUUCCUAAAAUAGAAACAAACAGCAUGAUUCAGGAAAGGGCAAGAAGGCUUAGCCUGCUCUGAAGAAGGCCUAUGGGAUUGUCACCCAACGAUUAUCACCACCCCACCCCCCUACCCCCGCCAAACACAGCCCUUCAACCAAACCUAGCAGCUGAGAUGACCACAGUAUUUCUUUCUUUCUUUCUGGCCAUGCUGUGCAGCGCAUGGGAUCUUAAUUCCCCAACCAGGAAUUGAACCCAGGCUCCCACAGCAGAAGUGUGGAGUCCUAACCGCCGGACCACCAGGGAAGUCCUCACAAUUUGUUUUUAAUUAACCCUAAAGUGUUUUCGAAUUCAGUGAAGAAUGAGAAAAGCAGUGUCCUGAGCGCAAAGUCAAAAGCAGGUUUCUGUCAGUUGUAUGAAACCAUCACAGUGAAAACCUUUUGAGUAAAGAAACCCAAGUACAUUCUUCUAUCCUUCUGACAGGAUGUGAGUGCUGAGGGCGACCCUAGAACCACCCAAGAGGCAGGAAUGAGCCAACUUGGAUUUGGCUAAAAAAGAACAGGAAACACACAUCUAAGCACCCAGUUCACACAGUGGUAGGAAAGGAGAAACUAUAAACUCCCUCUACGAUGCUAAGUCUUUAUGGCAAAAGUGAAUUUUUUGACAGUGAAUCAUCACCUCAGAGAAGCUUCCUGCAGCCCGUGGCACCGAGCAGCCUCUUCUCAGACGCCGGGUGCCGCUUAUUCUGCUCUCGGCCUUUAUUUGCCUCCCACCUCUCCCCCAAGAAGGCUGCACUCAGCUACAGCAAUCCAUCCCAAGGAGGAGCUUCGCCUCUGAGAGAUUAAUCAUGAGCGGGGAUGUGUGAUUGAUCCUGCCACCUGCAAAGCAGGGGGACGCUGAGGCCGUCUUUUCUGCAGUAAGCAAAGUUCAGAGCUGUUUGAGUUCCGCUAGGUAAGCAGGACUCUCCAGACCUGAGCCGGUAGGCUGCCCUCUCAGCAGGAAUUCUCGCCCUGACCAUGCACAGGUGUGCCUCAAUAGACGCACCUGAGCCACGGAGGCUAGAGGGUCAGAACUGCUCAUUUUUGCAAAUAGCCUGACUCCAUCAGGUUUUAAUUAGCAUGAAGUAUGGCAAACCCAUUCUGUUCAAGAGGUUGGUAAAUGAAAAUCGGAUUAAGAUCUGUUGUAUAACCUUAGGCUACAUAGGAUUUUUCCUAAUCCCAGCUAGAGGCUAGUAUAUCCUAAUUCUUGCAGAAAAGGAGUCUUGAGGUUUUGUGGGUUUUUUUUUCUUUUUGGCCAUAUCCUACCCCUCUCCCUAAAAAUAAAACCUUAAGUACACGAUUCACCCAAAAAUUAAAGGGAAAGGGAAAAUAAUUGCAUUUGCUGUGCAUGUAACUUGGAACCAAUAUAUGCUAAAGAGAGAAGGUAAUUUGGGAGGACCCUUGACUCAGAUGCUCAGUAGAAGAAACAGCAUCACAUCGCAGAUGGACAGCCGUGGGCUCAAAACACAGCUCUGCAGCCACUUUUGAGCUGCAGCUUUGGUAGGAAAUCAGUAAAACACUACUCUCACCUCAGCUAGAAUUCGACGAGAUGAUGACUGCGGAGAUCAAGCCCGGUAACGAGGACAACGCCCACCAUGUUCCUGCCCAAGGGAGGCCGUGCCAGCCGAGGGUACCCUAUGCACAGGGCCAGUGGGGCUCCAAACAGCCAGCACCUGCCACGUGAGUGAGAUUUCAUUUUCAUCUGAAGAUGCUGACUCUCUAUCAGACUCUUAUCACCACACCAAGGUUCAUACAAAUGUCCAUUUUUCACAGAGCCGUAGAUUUAGAGCAGCAGUCCCCAAAUCUGGAUUAUCAGAAUCCCUGGGGGUGGGGGUAGAUUCCUGGGCUUCGCCUUCAAACCAGCUGCAGCAGAACCUGGGAGCGGGAGGGAGGGAGCCCUGAAUCCCACGUCCCCAUCCUGAGCCAGUCAGCCAGGUUGAGGGGAUGUCAGCUGCUGAAGAAAAUCUGCAUUGACCCAUGGACACCUGGGAGCUGGUUGAUGAGGGAACACACCCUAUUUCUGUUGCCAUCAUCUUUUUCCAGAAGGAACAGGCAGGAAAAUGGUUUGUUGAUUUGAGACCUCUGAUGUUAUAAAGCUUAGAUAAAUGUCACGUCCUUCCAAUUGCCUUUGCCAAGUGAUCAUUACGUGACGUUAAACACACAUACACACACUCUCACACGCACCAGAAUUAGCUAGCUUGACCUUGCCAAGCAAAUAGUGAAGAAAAAGAAGUAAUAUAAACAGGCCAGAAUGGGAAAUAAAGAGAUAAAAAGCUUUGGUUAAAAUGGGUGCAGAAUUCUGGAACACCAGCAAUGUUAACAUGCUCAUCAAAUGCCCCUGGCAUAGCUGAGGCACUUCGGAGGCAACAGCAGGUAACCGGGCCCUGAGCGGAGAGGGAGGGGCAGCUGUGAUGUGUGAGCCCCCUGUUCUGGGGCACGUGGGGGCUGGGAUCCAGUGCAGGCCACCCACCAGGUGGCCACCCACAUACUCUGUUCUGGGGCUGCCUUUGCCCAGGGAAAGGGGGACUUUCUUGAGCUCACAAAAGGCUCCGUCCCAGGAAAGGCCCGAUUGUUUCCCUUGCAGAAGGUGCUGCGUGCUCUAGCUCUGUGUGUCAAGAUCUGAAAGAGAGACGGUGCGGUGCGUAGAUGAGCGGACAAGAAGAGGGAGGUGGGCGGGGCAGGGCCACCUGGACCUGUGUGCUUCUGCUGGACUUGCAGUUUACUCUGGAUGGAUGGGGGAGGGGAGGAGGGGACAAGCAGGAGAGUGACAGGCUCUGAGUCGUGUUUUAGAAGCGUCGCUCAGGCUGCAGUAAAGAGUGAACCACAGCGGGACGAGUUCGAUGCACGGAGCCUUGUCCAGGUGAGAGGUGGGGCGCCAGCAGGGGUAGAGGGCUGGACUGGCCAUGUAGGGUGGCCGUGGAGAUGAGAAAACGUCCUUCAGUGGCAAAAUGUCGGCCAUCCUGAUGGCUCAGAGCAGACACUAAGGACAAACCUGUGUCUCUGCCUCUUGAGUUUGUGGGGACUUCCUCCACAGGUAGAGCGCGGCCGAGCUGCAGGUCCUGCUGUGCAGCGUUGGGCUGCAGGGACCCCACGAUCAGGCUGAGGAGUGGCUGACCCUGGAGCCCACGAGAUGGGGCGGGGGGGUGUUCAGAGCCACAGCAGCAGACACACGAGGUGUCCUGGGGGGACGCCAGCUCCACGAGGGAGGAGGGGCAAGUGCGGAAGUGAGGAGCCGUGGGAUCUGGGACUUGUGGGCAAGGGCCUUGGAGAGAUUAAUCCAGAUCCGACUGGCCCUCUGGAGGAAUCCCCAUGGUGUCGCUGUGCAUCAGGGCAUGAGAGCCUAGAGGCGGGGAGGUGAGUGAGGAGGUCUGACAGUCGCUGUUCAUACAGAACAGUGUGUGCACGUCCUGAGGAUGCUGGGUGCCAGCUUUCUUUUUCCUUUUCCAAAUGCUUAGAAAGGACGAGUUGGACCACUCAAGUCUUAGUUUAAAUGAUGCAUUCACUCAACCAGUAUUUAUCAAGCAUCCCCUACAUGGCGAAUGCUGGGGACCCGAGAGGGAGGCUGGAGUCGAGCGGCAACAGCUCCCCGCACACUGUGUCAUAAGAGCCUCCAGGAAGAGGCCCAGAGGCCUGGAAAGCGCAGGAGGGCAGAGCCGGGUCUGGUCGGGGGACGGUGACGGGAAGCCAUGUUGGAUUGGAAAGCUGAAAGAGGAGUGGAUAUUAAACCAUGUGAAAUAGAGAAUGAGGCAUUCCAGGAGGAGGAAGCAGCUUGUGGCGAAGAGGAGUGUGGCAUAUUUGAGAAGUCAGAACAGCAGAUAAAUGGAUGGACCUAGCAUCUGUCAUACAGAGUGAAGGAAGUCAAAGAGGAAAACAAGCAUGGCGUAUUAGCGCAUAUAUAUGGAAUCUGGAAAAACGGUACAGAUGAAGCUAUUUGCAGGGCAGGAACAGAGACCCAGACGCAGAGAACAGACAUGUGGGCACGGGAGUGGGGGCAGUGGGCCAAGCUGGGAGAGGAGCGCUGACAUAUAUGCGCCCCCACAUGUGAAACUGAUCGCAACGGGGAGCUGCCGUGUAACAGGGGGCGCAGCUCCACGCUCUGUGAUGAC